AUUGAACGCUGGCGGCAUGCCUUACACAUGCAAGUCGAACGGCAGCGGGGGAGAAGCUUGCUUUUCCUGCCGGCGAGUGGCGAACGGGUGAGUAAUACAUCGGAACGUGCCCUGUAGUGGGGGAUAACUAGUCGAAAGAUUAGCUAAUACCGCAUACGACCUGAGGGUGAAAGUGGGGGACCGCAAGGCCUCAUGCUAUAGGAGCGGCCGAUGUCUGAUUAGCUAGUUGGUGGGGUAAAGGCCUACCAAGGCGACGAUCAGUAGCUGGUCUGAGUGGACGAUCAGCCACACUGGGACUGAGACACGGCCCAGACUCCUACGGGAGGCAGCAGUGGGGAAUUCUGGACAAUGGGCGAAAGCCUGAUCCAGCAAUGCCGCGUGUGUGAAGAAGGCCUUCGGGUUGUAAAGCACUUUUGUCCGGAAAGAAAUGGCUCUGGUUAAUACCUGGGGUCGAUGACGGUACCGGAAGAAUAAGGACCGGCUAACUACGUGCCAGCAGCCGCUGUAA
rnacentral:rRNA from 1 species